rnacentral:rRNA from 1 species
UAAGGAAUAUUGGUCAAUGGACGCAAGUCAGAACCAGCCAUGCCGCGUGAAGGAUGAAGGUCCUCUGGAUUGUAAACUUCUUUUAUCUGGGACGAAAACGGGAUCUUUAUCUCAAUUGACGGUACCAGAGGAAUAAGCACCGGCUAACUCCGUGCCAGCAACCGCGGUAAUACGGAGGGUGCGAGCGUUAUCCGGAUUUACUGGGUUUAAAGGGUGCGUAGGUGGGCUUAUAAGUCAGUGGUGAAAUCUCCGAGCUUAACUUGGAAACUGCCGUUGAUACUAUAGGUCGUGAAUUAUCUGGAGGUAAGCGGAAUAUGUCAUGUAGCGGUGAAAUGCUUAGAUAUGACAUAGAACACCAAUUGCGAAGGCAGCUUACUACAUAUAAAUUGACGCUGAGGCACGAAAGCGUGGGGAUCAAACA